rnacentral:lncRNA from 10 species
AUUCUGCUUCAUUACAGUUUCCCUUUUCCACUGAAUUAAAGUUUAUUUUGCAGUUCUUUUUCUAACUUCUGGAGAUGUAUGCUUACAUAAUGCAUUUUCGCGUUUCUUCUUUACUAAUCUGUUUAAGGCCAUGAAUUUCCAUUUAAGUUCUACUUUAUCCGCAUCCAGAAUGUUUUGAUACAUAGUCUUUUCAUCAUUAUUCUGUUAAAAUAUUUUCAAUUCCCAAUUUGAAUUUUCCAAUUUAUACAUUAUUUAGAAAUGUUUCUUAAUUUCAGAAAAAUUUUAAAUAGUGAUUUAACUAAAAUUACCACUGUCUUUUAACAUAUGGUGAUUUUAGUUAUUUUUGUUAUUGGCUUAUAUGAAUAAUAUUAUAAAAUGUGUUCCGUAUGAUACCAAUUAUUUUAAAUGUGUUGAAACUUGCUUUAUGGCCCAAGUUACGGUCAGUUUUUAAUGUACAUUCUGAGUAGUUAUUGGGUGCAAUGUUCUAUCUGCCCGUUAGGUCAAAUGUUCUAAUUAUUUUGUUUUCAAAUUGUCUCUGUCUUUAAUGAUCUUUUUGAAUGCCUGGGCUCUCAACUUUUGAGAGUAUUACAUGAAAAUCUGUUACCAUUAUGGUAGAUUUAUCUAUUUUUACAUGUUUUUCUAUUUUGAGGCUUUGUGAUUAGGUGUAUAAUAGUUUACAAUUAUUUAAACUUGCUGGCAAACUUUAAAGAAGUCCAUUUUUUUUCCUAAAGUACUAUAACU